GACGAACGCUGGCGGCGUGCUUAACACAUGCAAGUCGAACGGAAAGGCCCUGCUUGCAUGGUACUCGAGUGGCGAACGGGUGAGUAACACGUGGGUGAUCUGCCCUGCACUUCGGGGUAAGCCUUGGAAACUGUGUCUAAUACCGGAUAGGAGCCAUCUUUAGGGUGAUGGUGGGAAAGUUUUUUCGGUGUAGGAUGAGCUCGCGGCCUAUCAGCUUGUUGGUGGGGUAAGGGCCUACCAAGGCGGGGACGGGUGGCCGGCCUGCGGGGGUGGACGGCCACAUUGGGACCGAGAUACGGCCCAGACUCCUACGGGAGGCAGGAGUGGGGAAUAUUGCAAAAUGGGGGCGAGCCCGAUGCAGCGACGCCGCGUGGGGGAUGACGGCCUUCGGGUUGUAAACUCCUUUCGCUAGGGACGAAGCUUUUUGUGACGGUACCUAGAUAAGAAGCACCGGCUAACUACGUG
rnacentral:rRNA from 1 species